AUAAUGAACUCCUGUGGAAUUAUUAGUUAAUAUUUAACGGAUUAAUUGUUUUCAUUGAAAAAGUAACUUACCCGUUAUCACAAUGGCAGUAGGUAUAAAUGUAAUACUUAAAAACCGCUGUGGACAAUGUUGUGAGGAACCUCAUGGAGUGAUGAUAAAUCUUUGACGGCACAAAAUGCACCGAUUAUUUUGCGGACCUUUUCUUUAUUUUUCACCUAUUGUAUUAAAACCGCGCAAAGAAUACUUCCAAAAGAAAGAGUAAAAGAAAAUAUAUGACAAGCGGUGUUCGCAGAGCAGAAAGCGACAGAUUAAACUCUCUGGUUAAGGUCUUCUGCUUGCCGAGCGUGGCUCCUGAACCGAGUGGAACACAGAGAGCAUCAUUAGCACAGAGGACCGGAGAUUGCCAUUCUCCGUGGAUUUAGCAAACUCAAGUGGUUACUCGAGGUAUUGCAGUUUAGUAAGCCUCUGGUUCCAAAAAAACCAAUCACCCCAUUGAAGGCCAUUCAAAACUACGAAUUUAUCCAGAAAUACCCUGGCCAAAUUAAUUUAUUUUAGACAGAACUUUUAAAAUCUAAUUUCUAAUAAACACUAAUUUCUUCACUAAUUACUCUCCAGGCAACUAUUUUAUUUCUGAGUCCCACAGAAUAUAUAAAAUUUAUUUAAUUCCAGUUUGCUCCUCAUGGUUUUACAGUGUUUCAUAGUGCGCACAAGUGCUUAAACGUGCACACCCUGGCAUGAACGGGUAUGAGGCUGUGAUUGACUCAUCCUGAGAGAGUUGCCAGGACAGAAAUGGACUGCAUUUAUAUAGCACUUUUACCCAAAGCGCUUUACAAUUUGACGCCUCUCAUUCUCCCAUUCACACACACACCAACAGUGAAAGUCUGCCAUGCAAGGUUGGGAGCAAUUUGGGGUUAAGCGUUAGCCUACUCUGACACAUCUGUUCUGUUCUGUGUGGACAACAUAGCUCAGGAGUUACUUAGUAGCAGUGGGCAGCCACAGUGCAGCACCCGGGGACCAACUCCAGUUCUGAGGGCAGUGCCUUGGUCAAGGGCAACUGCAGGAGCUCACCUAACAUGCAUAUCUUCGAGUGUGGGAGGAAACCGGAGUACCCGGAGUAAACCCACGCGAACACGAGGAGAACAUGCAAACUCCACGCAGAGAGGAUCGGUCAGACCCGGAUUCGAACCCGCGACCACCCUCUUGCGAGAGAUAAAUCACCCCAGCAACACCCCAUGCAUCAAAGGAAAUCCACAUCACCAUGAACAUGCAGAAGAGGAGCCUUGUAUUCUGAGGUGGAUGUAUAAUUAUCCAAAGAAGCCUUUCACCCAUUUUUCACUAAUUUUUCUGAACACCCAUCAUGAGUACUGAACCAGUAGAACUUCCUCCACUGCCUGGAAGAUGCAGAAGCAACUUGCUGAUCAAGACACUACUUUUAAUUUUUAUUUUUGCUAUUUCUUUUUCUGUUUAUUUUUCUGGAACCUGGCCAACCUUCAUCGUGCUAUUGGAUCCUGUGUACCCCACCAACACAGAGCUGGAACAUGAGCCAACCGAAAAUCCAUUCAGAGAGAUGUCUGUGGAUGACAUAAUGCGUUCGGUAUGGGACGAUCUCCCAGCAGACGGCAACUUCAGCUCUAUUGAAAGCUCUUCCAGUGGCCAGCACAGUGUGGUCAACUUGGAGCAGCCCGGAGCCCAGUACUGUGUGGGGGACAGCUUAAUCGUGCUGGUGAACAUGAAGGA